GAUGAACGCUAGCGGCAGGCUUAACACAUGCAAGUCGAGGGGCAGCACGUCUUCGGAUGGUGGCGACCGGCGCACGGGUGAGUAACGCGUAUGCAAUCUACCUUUUACAGGGGCAUAGCCCGGGGAAACCCGGAUUAAUAUCCUAUAGUACCAUUAUAUAGCAUUAUAUUAUGGUUAAAGUUUCGGCGGUAAAAGAUGAGCAUGCGUCCUAUUAGCUUGAUGGUAAGGUAACGGCUUACCAUGGCUAUGAUAGGUAGGGGUCCUGAGAGGGAGACCCCCCACACUGGUACUGAGACACGGACCAGACUCCUACGGGAGGCAGCAGUGAGGAAUAUUGGACAAUGGGCGCAAGCCUGAUCCAGCCAUGCCGCGUGCAGGAAGACGGCCCUAUGGGUUGUAAACUGCUUUUAUACGGGAAGAAACACCCCUUCGUGAAGGGACUUGACGGUACCGUAUGAAUAAGGAUCGGCUAACUCCGUGCCAGCAGCCGCGGUAAUACGGAGGAUCC
rnacentral:rRNA from 1 species